GUACACACCGCCCGUCACACCAUGGGAGUGGGUUUCACCGGAAGUAGGUAGCCUAACCGCAAGGAGGGCGCUUACCACGGUGGGAUUCAUGACUGGGGUGAAGUCGUAACAAGGUUUCCGUAGGUGAACCUGCAGAAGGAUCA
rnacentral:rRNA from 1 species